GCCUAUUUGUUCGUGCCAGGUCCAAUCACUGCCCAGGAAGGAGAGUGACAUGGUACACGUAGCCCUGCCUGGUCCCCUCCCUGGGGCAGUUGCCGGGGGAAGGAGAGGGGACUGUGAACUGGGCUGAUGUCCCAGGAGUCUAGCUGGGCCAAAGACAUUUUCUCCUUGAAGCCACAGAGGCCACUCAGAGCCCUGCCCUAUGGGACCCCAGCUUAGUCCAGGGUUAGAAGUAUCGACCCCCGGGUCUGAGACGGUGGAGGCCCUGGCCAGGUAGCAGCUGUUCCCAGGACUGAGGUGCGUUUGUGAGUAGAUGGGAAUAUCCUGACUCACCCCUUCUGAUGGGAAUGUAGGACUCUUGGGGCCAGAAGUUCUUGUAAAAGUAACUUUGAGUCACUCUGCUAAUCAGGGCCAGAGGCCUGGGGAAGUCCAGCACCUGCAUAUGCCACGUGGCAGACAGUGGUGGGAGGUGCCCCCCCCGCCCUGCCCUGGCACCAGGACCCCAGCAGCUGGCCGUGUUCCUUUAUCCUCAGUAGAGCACUGGGUGCUACAUAUAUACAGAAGCUGGUUUUGCAGAGGCAAAGGGAAAUGUAACACAUAAGAGAGGAACCCCUUGCUUUAUAAAUGAAGGGGCUUAGCCUGUAGAAGCUCGGAACACAUCCCACGGGGAUGUCUUGCUCUGUCCACAUGCAAAGGCUGUGUGUAUGCCAGCAGGGGAUAAGCAGUUUUUCCUUCCCAUCCAGUCCUGGAACCUGGGAACUUAAUCUGGGAGUGAGAGGUGGCUGGGGAUGGUUCCUCAGAGCAGUGCUCAAAGCCUUACCUUCUGGUCCAGUCUCCCCCUGCCCCUCCCUUCUCUGGGUCUCCAGGGACACCAGAUGCUUGGUCCUGCCCCUGACGUUUUAAUUGCUCUGAUCCCUCUGCCUUUCCCUACAUGCUUGUCUAUAUGCGAUAUUCACUCAUUCCUCUAGACCCCUCUUCGGGCUUCCUCUCUGUGACCACCCAGCACCCACUUCCCCUCUCUGAGACCACAAGGGGGGUCGGUGUCAGCUGGGCACUCAGCCAAUGCCUUCCCUAGCUCCCUCGAAGGGAGGGCAGUCAUGUGACAUAGGCACGACCAAUGAGCUGUGAGCAUGGCUCUCCUCUCCCAAUGCUGGCCACGUAGGUGUGGUUCGUGCAAGAGUCUCCCCAAGGAAGUGGCUGCUUCCUGGAGGGGGACAGUUGUGGUUAGGGCCUGGGAUUCUCAAACACUUGCUUCUUCCCCCAGCAGAUGGGGAAGUUGUCAAGCUUAGGAAUUAGACAGGCUGGGUUCAAAUUUGGCUUCUGUACAACCUACUAAGUGACUUCAGACUGAGCCUCAGCAUCCUCAUUUUGAGAUGGGACCAGUGCUGGCAGCGAUUCCUCAGGUUAUUGAUUCCGUCGGAUCAGCCUGUGAACUCCGUGAGGGCAGAGGUGUUCACCUCACUGCGACCUGGCCCCCAGCGGUAGGGCACACAGUAGAUGCUUUGUGGAUCUGUAUGGUGUGAAGGAGUGUACAGGUUUUAAGAGAGUGAUUGGUCCAAGAAAUCUCAGCCAAAGGGCUGGUGUGUAGUUCAGUGGUCGAGCAUUUGCCUAGCAUAUUCGAAGCCCGGGCUUCCAUCCCCAGCACUACAAACAAAACAAAACAAAACAACAAAACACAAACAAACUUGCCUAAAAAAGGAGAGAAACACACAGCCAAGCAGAACCCAGGCUUAGGUUCCUGUGGGAAAAGUGGGGAGAGGGGAAGACAGGGUUAGCCUCCUCUGUCUCCCCAUUGAGCAGAUCAGCUUUUAUCAAAUUUGUGCCAGGGAUUCACUCCUGAAGCUACGCAUUAUUCAAGACUAAAUUUCCCAGAGGGAUAAAUGUAAAGCAAGAUCUGUAUUAUUUCAAAAUUGGAGUACACGGCAAGUCUUUAUUAAUAUUUUCCAAUUGCCUGAUUUCCAAGUUGCAUAAUGCAAGUUUGCAUAAAAUGAGAUAUACCGUUUUGGGGUUCUGGACAAGGCUGGGGGGACAGAGAGGUUUCUAACCUUGAAAGAUUCACAUCCUAGUACUGGCCUCCCAGUGGGGGCUACAAUCAAAGGUGAGGCUGAGCAUAAUCAUUUGAUAUUAACAGUAGUUAAAGUACCAACGCUGAGGAAUGAUUCUCUUUAACAAAAAUACUGCUGAUUCAGAGUAAUUCUAGGGAGCAACAUGAAUUAUUGAAAAAUUAAUUGGUGUCUUUUUUCCUUUUUUUCUCACUGCUUUAGGCUUAUUGGAAAGGGAUGAAAGGCAUCUUUUCUCCCAUUUCCAGAGAACCUGGCUCCAAAUGCAGAGAUUUUCCAGCCCCAGUGUGCAUAAGAAUGAGCCAAGGAGCUGAAAAUACCAACACCUGAGUCGAGUCCUGCCCCCAGACUCUAGGUGGAUGCAGAAUUCUGCAUUUUUAACAGGAACUUUAGGAGGCUCUGAUGUGGGUGGUAAGCACCUUGGGUGUUUGGGGUGCACUCUUUUGCAAAGGGCGCUUGCAGUGGCAGAUGCUGGGGACACUUCCCAUGUGAGGGCGCCUGUGCUCAGAGCUGGUUGUUGAACAUACAUGCUGUACUGUCCAUUGUGUGGAUUCACAGACAGCCUCCAUGUGGUGCUUUAACUCUGUGAUGGUGUUAGAGUGGUGUGCAUUCGUAGGCUCACAAUAUCUAGUACCGUUUUCUCAAGAUGCUUGGCAGGUGCAGCGAGCUGUAGCUCUCAGUCAGCCGUGCACUGUGUUGCUAAGCCAGGGUGUUCUGCAGGUUAAGUGUAUUAGAUGCACCUGCUACUUAGGAUAUUCCCAGGUUACUCUAGGUUGUUUCGGAGGCCACCCCAUAGUAAACGAAGAAGCAUUUGUACUAGGGUUUAGCCACUCUCCUAUACACGGAUACCUGGGUUGGCUCAAAUAUUCUGGUUUUUAAUAAAUCGUGCUUCUGUGUCUAACUGUCCUGAAAGGGAAAGGAAGAGGCUGUUGUGACAGCCACCAGGAUGGAAAUUGCACAUUAGGACCACCCUACCCUUAGUCUCUGUGAGGGUUUCCAUCCAGAUGUCCCUGAAAAGCCUCAUGUGCUCAUAGGCGGGGCUUUGGGGAGGUGGCUGGAUCAUGGGCGUGUGACAAGUGCAUUGGUUCACUGAUUGGUUUAUCAUAGUUCUAGCUGUGGAAGAUGGAAAGGCCCACCCUGGGUUUGGGUGGCGCCGACCAAUGGACUUGUAGCCUGGAUGGAAUAAAAAGGGAAAGGAAGGCCUGCUGUUCGUUGCUUCCUGCUUGCCAUGCCAUGAACUGUGUCUUCUCUACCAUGCCUCACUGCCUAAGGAGCAGUCCACUGUGGACUGGCACCUCUGCAAACUGAGAGCUAAAAUAAGCCUUUCUUCCUUUAACUUGUUGGUGUGCUGUAUUUUGUCCCAGCAACGAGAAAGUAACCAAGACAUACUCUAAGUGGGGUCCCUUGGCUAGCUGGGUUAGCAGCACCCAGGAGCAUCUUAAAGAUGUAGAUCCUCAGGUCCCUUUUCAGAACCACUGCUUUAGAGCUGCGUUUUGAAGACAUCUCCAAGUGCUUCCCAUGCUCUAAUGAGUUUGAGCAAUGCUUCCCUCCAUAAUUUUUCCUAUACCACAGUCCAAGGUGGAGCUGGAUGCAGGGAGUCUCAUCCAUCCUGAGUCUCAAAGGAGGAAUAUGUGCGAGACUCUUGGCUUUGGGUCGUUUAACCCAGGUGAGGAAAGGCAGCCUCUGGGGACACUAAUGGAAAAAGAGAGUGUGUGUUCCCAUGCUCAAGCAGAAGUAGAGCCACCACGAGGCUUUUCCAGGGAGAAACUUGCCAAGGAG
ensembl:lncRNA